rnacentral:rRNA from 1 species
GGGAAUUUUGUGCAAUGGGCGAAAGCCUGACACAGCGACACCGCGUGAACGAAGAAGCUCUUUGGAGUGUAAAGUUCUGUCGGCUGGAACGAAAACAAUGACGGUACCAGCAAAGGAAGCAUCGGCUAACUACGUGCCAGCAGCCGCGGUAAGACGUAGGAUGCAAGCGUUGUCCGGAUUUAUUGGGCGUAAAGAGUUCGUAGGCGGUUUACUAAGUCUGAUGUUAAAGAUCGGGGCUCAACCCUGGGACUGCAUUGGAUACUGGUAGGCUUGAGUGUGGUAGAGGCAAGUGGAAUUCCCAGUGUAGCGGUGAAAUGCGUAGAUAUUGGGAAGAACACCAGUGGCGUAGGCGACUUGCUGGGCCAUAACUGACGCUGAGGAACGAAAGCCAGGGGAGCGAA